rnacentral:rRNA from 1 species
UAAAUAGCUAGGCUUAACUUCGGUUAGGUCGUCAGCUUCUUAGAGGGACUAUCGGUGUUUAACCGAUGGAAGUUUGAGGCAAUAACAGGUCUGUGAUGCCCUUAGAUGUUCUGGGC